UCAAAAAGUUUUCUCAGAUCGGCCCAUGAUUUUUUCCCUGGAUAAAACGAAAUUUUAGAAUUCACCUGGCAAGCUAUCAUCACGUGAAUCGCGUAAAAAAAUUAUCGAUUAUCAUAAAUUAUCAAUCGGAUAAUGUCUAGCGACAAUGUUGACACAUCACUAGACUUCAAGGUCAUAAGAUAUGGAAGCGGGUUUUGUCGCCAUAAACGGCGCGCAUGUUACAAUUGAAAUAUACAAUGAUCCUUGCUUUGGUUAUGAUGUAUGUCGUGUUUACGCUUUUGGAAUUGCCUGUUUUAAUGAGUUAUGUUAUCUAUAUCUUAAAAUAUUCCAAUUCUGAUUCAUCUGAUAGGUGAAGAUGCCUGGUGAGCGAGGGAGAGGACGAGGACGGGUGAGGAGAGGAGGUGGUCGAGGGGCAAGAAGAAUUCUCAACUUUUCACCCACCGCCCAGCCCGAGCCCCAAAGGUGUACCAGUGGAAGCUCCUGCACCACGUCUUUAAGGACCACCUUGUGAUGCUGAACCCGGUGCACCUUUCCCUACAAGUGCACCGUCUGUACGGCCACAUUCGCAUAUGUAUACAAACAGUUCGAGAAUGACGUCUACAGCCCUCACUCUGUCGUCGCCAAGAAGAUUAUGGAGUCGUUUGGCCGUAGGAAGGCAGCUGCGGCGGCGGCCGCCACCGGACAGCCCAUCAAAAUCAACAACGAGAUCACAAUUCACAAUCAUCCCUCACACGGGCUCGGGCGGUGCGGCAAAGGGCUCGUCUCAGGCCAGCUCGACGCCGGUGAAGCGGCGGCGACCGGAGUCGGCGCCGGCUCCCGUGGAGCGUGAGUGCGAGCUGUGCGAGCAUCGCGCGCUGCCGUGGUGCAGCCGCGGCCGCUGACGGAGCACUACCUGCGCCAGGCGCCUGCACCAGGGCCGGCCAGAGCUCGAGUUCACGCCGCUGAUGCGCGACUCCAAGUGCGCCACCUUCGUCACAGAGGAGAUCUGCGAGCAGCUGCGCCGGCGCGCCGCCGCCGAGGACUCCGACAGUGGGGUCGAGGUGGAGGUGAGCGACGCGAAGGACGGCGCGGCCGGCGGCGCCCCGUCCGCCUCCGGUGGCAGCGCGCUCAGCAAGCUCAACGAGGAGACUCACGCCUAUUGCCGCGGCGCGGCCCCGCCGGCUGGUGACCGUCCGGAAACCCAAGCCGUUCAUGGGUGACUGAGUGAAACGAAUGGACGUGCAUGUGCGUUUUUGUUCUGUGUAUGCGUGCGUUUGGAAAUGGCGUCUCUAUGUGCGUGCUUGUUUUGUAGAAGCGCUAGCGGUGCCGACGGACCCAGCGAUGGCGCGGAGGGCUUUGAUGUACCGUGUGUCUUUGAUGUUGAUGCAUUCUCGUGUUUUGUUGGUCGCGCGCCCAGCAGCACCGUGUACAUAGCCGGGGGCGUUCCUGCUCGACGCCACGUUCUGUUCGUUGUAUCUCAAUGCCAGCUUUUUGCUCCAAGUCCCGCUCGUGGAACACGCGACUCGCUCGAUUCAAAUAAUAAAUAUACACUUUAUUUCUCUGACAA